rnacentral:lncRNA from 1 species
AACCUUCUAAAAGCUCUCAAGUAUUAUUUAAUACUCUCAAGUUAGUUCUUGGGGACAGGAGUAAGUCACAUCAAUAAGACCGAAUCUCUAAAUUCUCUAGUGUUAUCUCUCUUCCUUUGACUCUUUUGCUUUCCACUUGUUUUCUUUAUCUUUAUUUUUUUACUGCAUAUCCAAAUUCCUGUUAGAAAAAAAAUAUUAAAAUUCCGAUCUAAAAA